UUGUGUUGCUUCUCUUAGCACUUUUGAAUCAAUCUUGCAGUUGUAUGACUUACUGUGCUAUAAUUUCUCUCCCUGGAAAGCAAUGCUUUGCACUUGAACUAAGUGAAAAGCUGUGGCAUUCCUCCUUUUCCAUCUUGGGUGUCUGUAGCAAGUGACGGCUGCUUGUUGGCAAUGAUGGAGCAGGUGGCUGCUGCUGGGCUGCAGAAAAAGAAUCUCUAUUGAUAGCAAUGAAAACAGCUGUAUAGCCCCAACACAGUCUUGGUUUUUCACUUGAUUGAGAAAAUAUAAUCCCUUCAGAUCAAACACAAAAGCCUUGGGAUCAUGCACUGCAUUAUACUGGAACACUGGGGGAUUGUACCAAAAGGCUAACAUGGAGGCCACCUACUCCAGCAACAAGCAACUGCAUCUGCAUAAGUGGCAGCAAGCAGAAGAGGUGGUGUGGCCACAGUGACCCUCUCAGCCUUUACAGGAGCACAUAGGGAUCGUCAGUCUGUGACCAGGUCUGGGCCCCAAAGCCUUGGAUCCUGACAAAAAUUCCAAGCAUAAGGAAAGCCACUGCACUUGUGUUGCUCACUUGAGAAAUACAUCACUAUGCAAGAUACAGAAAGCUACAUUAAAUGCUUUAAACUCUCAACAUAUUUAAGAUACUGUUAAGAACUUGUAACCUUAAGUUACAUCUUAAAUUAAAAAGAAAUC